rnacentral:rRNA from 2 species
GACCUGAACUCAGUCGAGAGCACCCGCUGA